GUGGUCGUAGCUCAGUUGGGAGAGCAUCGGAUUGUGGCUCCGAAGGUCGAGGGUUCGAGCCCCUUCGACCACC
rnacentral:tRNA from 1 species